rnacentral:rRNA from 1 species
UACGGGGGGGGCAAACGUUAUUCGGAAUCACUGGGCUUAAAGAGUCCGUAGGCGGCAUGUUAGGUGAGGUGUGAAAUCCCCCGGCUCAACCGAGGAAUUGCGCUUCAAACCGGCGUGCUUGAGGAAGAUAGAGGUGGGCGGAACUGAUGGUGGAGCGGUGAAAUGCGUUGAUAUCAUCAGGAACACCGGAGGCGAAGGCGGCCCACUGGGUCUUUUCUGACGCUGAGGGACGAAAGCUAGGGGAGCGAACGGG